rnacentral:rRNA from 1 species
AUUGAACGCUGGCGGCAGGCUUAACACAUGCAAGUCGAACGAGUGGCGGACGGGUGAGAAUGUCUGGGAAACUGCCCGAUGGAGGGGGAUAACUACUGGAAACGGUAGCUAAUACCGCCUACCCUUGGAUGUGCCCAGAUGGGAUUAGCUAGUAUGUGGGGGAAAGGCCCACCAAGGCGACUAUCCCUAGCUGGUCCGAGAGGAUGAACAGCCACACUGGAACUGAGACACGGCCCAGACUCCUACGGGAGGCAGCAGUGGGGAAUAUUGCGCAAUGGGCGCAAGCCUGAGGCAGCCAUGCCGCGUGUAUGAAGAAGGCCUUCGGGUUGUAAAGUACUUUCAGCGGGGAGGCGUUACCCGCAGAAGAAGCACCGGCUAACUCCGUGCCAGCAGCCGCGGUAAUUC